GACGAACGCUGGCGGCGUGCUUAACACAUGCAAGUCGAACGGAAAGGCCCUGCUUUUGUUGCUUGCUCGAUUGGCGAACGGGUGAGUAACACGCGAGUAACCUGCCCCUGACUUUGGGAUAACUUCAGGAAACUGCGGCUAAUACCCGAUAGGAGCUCCUGCAGCACAGGGGGGGUUGGAAAGUGUCGGCCUUUGGGGGUGGGUUCGCUGCUUAACAGCUUGUUGGGGGGGUAGUGGCUUACCCAGGCUUUGACGGGUAGCCCGCCUGAGGGGGUGACCGGCGACAUUGGGUCUGAGGUACGGCCCAGGUUCGUAAGGGAGGGAGAAGUGGGGAAGAUUGAACAAUGGGCGGAAGGUUGAUGAAGAAGCGCCGCGGGCGGGAUAACGGUCUUAGGGUGGUAAAACGAUUUUGCCUGUAACGAAGCGUGAGUUACGGUAAUGGGUACAGAAGCACCGGCUAACUACGUG
rnacentral:rRNA from 1 species